AAAGAAAUGAUCAAGUUUAUGUAAAGUAUUAUGAAUUGAAUGGUUUUAUUAUGAUUUCGUUGUUAUUUUCUCUAAUUAUUAUAGUCAAAUUUUCUUUAGAAAUGUCUAUUUAGACUGUGAAAUGUGCAUGCUGCCUCUGUGAACACUGUUCGGAUAUAAUCCGCCAAGAAAGGAUACAUUAUAGAAAUAGACUGUAUGUGAUGAUAUAGAAAUUUAGAAGUAAAAAUGUCAUUGGAAACUGUUCAGAGAGAGGCGUUAUUCCAGUCUUAACGAUGACUCAUCAAACAUCUUCCAGAGGUGUGUGACGUAAUGAUAGUGUUUCUCAAAGAGCGACAUCUUUAUCAGCUAAUCGUAUUCAAUACCAUUGUCAGCAUUCGCUGCCGAAUCAAAUAGAGGACAACUUGACAAUCGGUCGUAAUAACAAACAUUCUAAAUGGCUACGUGCAAUGUUGUGUUACACUGCCAUGUAUUUAUUGCAUAGAUAAGACUAAUCAACAAAAAGUAGUCUGUGUUUACUCGUAUAGUUCGGUUUUGAGGUUAUCAGUGGUUUUUAUACCGGUCUGUUAUUUAGGUAAUGCUCACAAAUCAGUAUGAUUCAAUAAAAUAUAUGUGGGAUAAAGGGAUUAAUCUUAGCAACACAAAAAUGAACCGCCUUGAUAUGAAUGAAAUGAAAUGAACCACAAUCAUUUUUAACAUAGCAUUAUGUGAGUCCACAUGUUCGUUCUCUUAUUGUAGAACUUCGGAAAAAUAUAAUAUUUCAACGAAUACAUCAUCAAUGUUUUAAAUACAUGUGCAUAAAAAGUAAGUUACAAUUGUAUAUUGAUGAGGAAAAAAUUGUAUUAUGGACUCUGAAUCUAUUGACACAGAUGGGGAAACUCAUCGCCCUGAAGCAUUAUGAAUGGUAUUUAAUAAAAAAGUUUUUACUGAAUUUUUUUUUUAGGUUUAACGUCGC
rnacentral:lncRNA from 1 species